GUUUGUCUCCAGCUGGUGCAUGAGGUUCUUGCUGAGUCUCCAGCUGCUCUAACUCAUGCCAGUGGAAUUGGAGUCCGAAGAUUUUCAGGACCACCUUCAUCUCAGAACCUCCUCGACCGACUUGGUCAUAAUGUUCCCAGAACUCUUCCCUCGCUUUCAACUGAUGCCAAAGAACUGGUCAAAUCUGUUCGUGCCAUCAUUGAAGCAGACUGUCUGCCCUAUGGAUGGGAAGAAGCUUACACAGCAGACGGGAUUAAAUAUUUUAUCAAGUAAGUA